rnacentral:rRNA from 1 species
AUUGAACGCUGGCGGCAGGCCUAACACAUGCAAGUCGAGCGGAUGAAGGGAGCUUGCUCCUGGAUUCAGCGGCGGGCGGGUGAGUAAUGCCUAGGAAUCUGCCUGGUAGUGGGGGAUAACGUCCGGAAACGGGCGCUAAUACCGCAUACGUCCUGAGGGAGAAAGUGGGGGAUCUUCAGACCUCACGCUAUCAGAUGAGCCUAGGUCGGAUUAGCUAGUUGGUGGGGUAAAGGCCUACCAAGGCGACGAUCCGUAACUGGUCUGAGAGGAUGAUCAGUCACACUGGAACUGAGACACGGUCCAGACUCCUACGGGAGGCAGCAGUGGGGAAUAUUGGACAAUGGGCGAAAGCCUGAUCCAGCCAUGCCGCGUGUGUGAAGAAGAUCUUCGGAUUGUAAAGCACUUUAAGUUGGGAGGAAGGGCAGUAAGUUAAUACCUUGCUGUUUUGACGUUACCAACAGAAUAAGCACCGGCUAACUUCGUG